GAGUUCUGGACAGCAGAGACUACAGAUUGGGUCAUAGUUUUGCCCAGAGCCUUCCCACUGAUGCAUAUGGUGGGGUCCUCACGUUCCUCUUCCUCCAGCAUUCACCAUAGCCACACAAAGCUGAGUAGCCCCUUCCUUUUAUACCUUUAACAUUCAUUAACUCAGACUUCUGAGGGACCACCUCUGUGGCAGUGGGGCAGUGAUGUGCUGGUGAAGGCACAAGACCAGGAAACUGGUUUGACUCUGGGCUCUAUGACCUUGGGCAAAUCAUGCCCCUCCCUUCCCAUCGGGCUUCAGCCUCAUACUCUGUAAAGUAAAGGACCUCAUCUAUUCCAGCCCAGUGGACACAGCUCACAAGGUACUGAAUAGCCUGAGGACCUUCCUGAGGAGGAAUGAGGAUAUCCAAGUGGGCGGUCUUAUCCGAGGCCACUUCCUGCUGAUCCUGCAGCGUCUGCUAGUGGAGCAUGGGGCAUCCCCAUCAGGAGCCUCGGGGAACCUACCAUUGCUGCUGAGCCUCCUCUCCCUGAUGCAGCUCAGGAAUGUGUCAGAGCAAGAACUGGACAGCGUGGCCAUGAAGCUCCUUCACCAAGUAAGCAAGCUGUGUGGGAAGUGCAGCCCCACUGACGUGGACAUCCUGCAGCCCUCCUUCAACUUCCUGUAUUGGAGCCUUCAUCAGACCACACCCAGCAGUCAGAAAAGAGCUGCUGCAGUGCUCCUGAGCAGCACAGGCCUGAUGGAGCUUCUGGAGAAGAUG
rnacentral:sRNA from 1 species